rnacentral:lncRNA from 1 species
UGCAGUGUCUGGCAGCACUGUGUUCCUGUUAGAGCCACCAGCACAAGCACCAGACGAUGCUGAUCCAGGUGAAGGCCCCAGUGCAGCAGCAACAGCACAUGAUGGAGACGAUGAUGAGGAGGAGACCAUCUCUCUGGAUUCCAGAAGGCAUGAGGUAUCAUGUUAAGAUGUGAAGUAAGUUACUCUACAAUGGUGAGGAGUCCUCAUCAAAAUCAAAAAAUCUAAUUUCUUACAGGACCAGAUGCUAUACAGUGGGAAAACCAGCCUGGCAACAUAGUGCGUAUUAAUAAAAGGACACAACAUCCUGCCAAAUUCCAGCUGCGCUAAUGUAUUGUGUUCACAGAGCUCACAAGCUAUCAGAAAGUUGUAUGGCAACCACCUCCGGCGCCAAAUAGAACUGGCAGACAUAGACAUUCAGUACAAGAAGAAAAAGAUGGAAAAUCUUGCACUGGAGUUCGAAAUAAAAAAGAGGACAAUUAGGAAACUGGACCUUGAAAUAAAAAAACUUGAGAGGGAGCUCCAAGAAGAUGACACAGCUCAAAAUAAAAUAGGUAUAUCUCGU